rnacentral:rRNA from 1 species
ACGGCUCAGUAACACGUCGGUAACCUACCCUCGGGAGGGGGAUAACCCCGGGAAACUGGGGCUAAUUCCCCAUAGGCCUGAGGUACUGGAAGGUCCUCAGGCCGAAAGGAACUUAUGUCCGCCCGAGGAUGGGCCGGCGGCCGAUUAGGUAGUUGGUGGGGUAAUGGCCCACCAAGCCGAAGAUCGGUACGGGCUGUGAGAGCAGGAGCCCGGAGAUGGACACUGAGACACGGGUCCAGGCCCUACGGGGCGCAGCAGGCGCGAAACCUCCGCAAUGCGGGAAACCGCGACGGGGGGACCCCGAGUGCCGUGGCAACGCCACGGCUUUUCCGGAGUGUAAAAAGCUCCGGGAAUAAGGGCUGGGCAAGGCCGGUGGCAGCCGCCGCGGUAAUACCGGCGGCCCGAGUGGUGGCCGCUAUUAUUGGGCCUAAAGCGUCCGUAGCCGGGCCCGUAAGUCCCUGGCGAAAUCCCACGGCUCAACCGUGGGGCUUGCUGGGGAUACUGCGGGUCUUGGGACCGGGAGAGGCGGGGGGUACCCCUGGGGUAGGGGUGAAAUCCUAUAAUCCCAGGGGGACCGCCAGUGGCGAAGGCGCCCCGCUGGAACGGGUCCGACGGUGAGGGACGAAGGCCAGGGGAGCAAACCGGAUUAGAUACCCGGGUAGUCCUGGCUGUAAAGGAUGCGGGCUAGGUGUCGGGUGAGCUUCGAGCUCGCCCGGUGCCGUAGGGAAGCCGUUAAGCCCGCCG